rnacentral:rRNA from 1 species
UACGUAGGGUGCGAGCGUUAAUCGGAAUUACUGGGCGUAAAGCGUGCGCAGGCGGUCAGUUAAGUCUGAUGUGAAAGCCCCGGGCUUAACCUGGGAAUUGCAUUGGAAACUAGCGGGCUGGAGUGUGGCAGAGGGGGGUGGAAUUCCACGUGUAGCAGUGAAAUGCGUAGAGAUGUGGAGGAACACCGAUGGCGAAGGCAGCCCCCUGGGCUAACACUGACGCUCAUGCACGAAAGCGUGGGGAGCAAACAGG